CUGGGGGGGUGCUUAACCAUGCAGUCGAACGGAAGGCCCUUCGGGGUACUCGAGUGGCGAACGGGUGAGUAACACGUGGGUGAUCUGCCCUGCACUUUGGGAUAAGCCUGGGAAACUGGGUCUAAUACCGAAUAUGAUCAUCGGCUUCAUGGUCGGUGGUGGAAAGCUUUUGCGGUGUGGGAUGGGCCCGCGGCCUAUCAGCUUGUUGGUGGGGUAAUGGCCUACCAAGGCGACGACGGGUAGCCGGCCUGAGAGGGUGACCGGCCACACUGGGACUGAGAUACGGCCCAGACUCCUACGGGAGGCAGCAGUGGGGAAUAUUGCACAAUGGGCGCAAGCCUGAUGCAGCGACGCCGCGUGAGGGAUGACGGCCUUCGGGUUGUAAACCUCUUUCAGCACAGACGAAGCGCAAGUGACGGUAUGUGCAGAAGAAGGACCGGCCAACUACGUGCCAGCAGCCGCGGUAAUACGUAGGGUCCGAGCGUUGUCCGGAAUUACUGGGCGUAAAGAGCUCGUAGGUGGUUUGUCGCGUUGUUCGUGAAAACUCACAGCUUAACUGUGGGCGUGCGGGCGAUACGGGCAGACUAGAGUACUGCAGGGGAGACUGGAAUUCCUGGUGUAGCGGUGGAAUGCGCAGAUAUCAGGAGGAACACCGGUGGCGAAGGCGGGUCUCUGGGCAGUAACUGACGCUGAGGAGCGAAAGCGUGGGGAGCGAACAGGAUUAGAUACCCUGGUAGUCCACGCCGUAAACGGUGGGUACUAGGUGUGGGUUUCCUUCCUUGGGAUCCGUGCCGUAGCUAACGCAUUAAGUACCCCGCCUGGGGAGUACGGCCGCAAGGCUAAAACUCAAAGGAAUUGACGGGGGCCCGCACAAGCGGCGGAGCAUGUGGAUUAAUUUCGAUGCAACGCGAAGAACCUUACCUGGGUUUGACAUGCACAGGACGCUGGUAGAGAUAUCAGUUCCCUUGUGGCCUGUGUGCAGGUGGUUGCAUGGCCUGUCGUCAGCUCGUGUCGUGAGAUGUUGGGUUAAGUCCGCAACGAGCGCAACCCUGUCCUAUGUGCCAGCGGUUAUGCCGGGGAUCGUAGAAACUGCUGGGUCAACUCGAGAAAGUUGGGAUGACGUUCAGGUCAUCAUGU
rnacentral:rRNA from 1 species